CGUACACUCCUACGGGAGGCAGCAGUGAGGAAUAUUGGACAAUGGGUGGAAGCCUGAUCCAGCCAUCCCGCGUGCAGGAAGACGGCCCUAUGGGUUGUAAACUGCUUUUAUCUGGGGAUAAACCUACUUACGUGUAAGUAGCUGAAGGUACCAGAAGAAUAAGCACCGGCUAACUCCGUGCCAGCAGCCGCGGUAAUACGGAGGGUGCAAGCGUUAUCCGGAUUUAUUGGGUUUAAAGGGUCCGUAGGCGGACUGAUAAGUCAGUGGUGAAAUCCGACAGCUUAACUGUCGAACUGCCAUUGAUACUGUUAGUCUUGAGUAAGGUUGAAGUGGCUGGAAUAAGUAGUGUAGCGGUGAAAUGCAUAGAUAUUACUUAGAACACCAAUUGCGAAGGCAGGUCACUAAGUCUUAACUGACGCUGAUGGACGAAAGCGUGGGGAGCGAACAGGAUUAGAAACCCUUGUAGUCCCAUGA
rnacentral:rRNA from 1 species